CAACUUUCAGCAACGGAUCUCUUGGCUCUCGCAUCGAUGAAGAACGCAGCGAAAUGCGAUAAGUAAUGUGAAUUGCAGAAUUCAGUGAAUCAUCGAAUCUUUGAACGCACCUUGCGCUCCUUGGUAUUCCGAGGWGCAUGCCUGUUUGAGUGUCAUGA
rnacentral:rRNA from 1 species